CACCACCCAAAGCGGGUUAGGGUAGGGGACAGGGGAAGAGAUAAAAUAAUACCCCGUCCCCUGUCGGCAUUGUAAUUGUCGGGAUGCCGGUGUCUGUCAUGUGUCCAGUGGCAUCCCGACCGCCGUGAUCCUGUAUCACAUGCAAGGAGUGUAUGAAUACAAGUCAAAGAGCCAAGGAGAAAAACCAAGUUUCCAAGUCAUUUUGUAACUGAAUUGAUGUGCCAUAAGCAGAGGAGAAGGACCAGUGGGGGAAUUCAACACCAUCAUCUGCCCGACUUCAGCAGGUUUGAAAGUCACAUGUACCGGACAACUCGCAUGUAUGAAUGACAGUGACCAGGCCCUCAUGAUAUUUCACCAUAGACACAACGUGUUGCAUUUCACAUGUCUGGGAGUAUCCUUGAUUAAUCUGAUACAAUAAUACUGGCACCGUUUCUGUAUCCAUUACAUUACCCAUGUUUAAUAAA